GACCAGACUGACCAGUGGCAUUUUGAGUUUGAGACCCUGCUGUAACGAUAAAAUCAAAAAAAGACAUGUGUCGCGAUAAAACCUUGAUAUUGUGGAUGUUGUCUCUGUACUUAAUAAAGUGGUAAAUGAUUGUGCUUCAGGCUGUCAACGCUGUAAUUUGUACCCUUUUAUUUGUCAUUUGAAGGUCACGCGAGGAGCAGCUAAACUUACUUCCUAAUCCUGUUUACCUGCAUCAAACUUCCUGUUCUACAACUCUGCGGCUUCUCCUUCGUCUUCUUUCUCCCGCUUAAAAAGUAAAGAAGCAGGCGCGUCAUGUUAAAGCUCCUCCGGACAGUAGACGGGCCGUGGUGUUGGUCGUGGAAGUCUCUGGAAGCAACGCUGCGGGGAACGCACUUCCGGGCCGGAGCGCAAAUGUUAGCCGGUGGACGUGAACCUCUAACGGGAAGCAUCCGCGCACCGAGCCGUAGGCAGCAACACACGGCGGCCGCAGAGCCUGUGGAGGUGGAUGUGAAGCGGUUAGAGGAGGAACACGAUGGAAUAGUGGAGGUGCAAAUGUGUCGACACAAGGCAAGAAACGCUCUGGGCCAUGUGUUUGUGUCACAGAUGAGGGAGCUGGUGUCCACUCUGUCCAGUGACUCGUCAGUCCGCGUGGUCGUCUUCAAGAGUUUAGUACCAAAGGUUUUCUGUGCAGGCGCAGACCUGAAGGAGAGAGCUUUGAUGACGGACAGCGAGUCUGACCUGUUCGUUCACGGCCUGCGUUCACUCAUGACUCAGAUAGCACUGUUGCCCAUGCCGACCAUCGCAGCCAUUGAUGGCGUUGCCGUGGGCGGUGGACUGGAGCUUGCCUUGGCCUGUGACCUCCGCACUGCAGUGUAUUCAGCACAGAUGGGACUGAUUGAGACGACACGGGGGCUGCUCCCAGGAGCGGGGGGCAGUCAGCGGCUGCCAAGGAUGGUGGGCAUCACUCUGGCCAAAGAGCUCAUCUUCACGGGGAGGUGUGUGGGAGGGCAGGCAGCUCUGGAGAUGGGGCUCGUAAACAGAGCUGUAGAACAGAACCAGACAGGAGACGCUGCCUACAGAGAAGCACUGAGCCUGGCCACAGAGAUUGUGCCCCAGUUGCUCCAGCAGUGAGGAUCGUAGCUCAGGGCUCAACGUCCAGGCUUCCUCUCCUCGUGACGUCAGAUGUGCAAGGAUGCCUGCGGCAAAGUAGCUGACCUCCACCUCUGGACUGUGCAGCAGAGUUCUGAUGUGGUCCAGGAACCCCUGCACCAUCAGCUCCCCGUGCAACUCCCCGACCUCUGCAAUGUUGUUCUACACAACAGAAGGGUAAAAACAGAGCGGUUAACUCACCAACAGACCCAGAACCUUCUGCUGGAUAGAAGACUCACUGGGGAAGGACUGCAGGGAGCAUGGUGGAAGCAGAAGCAAAAAAAAACAAUUUCCUUCUCCAGAGAGUAAGUCAGAAAAACCAGCGUCUGUAGCCAGAAGUCCCAUAAAGGUCAUACCUGGUCUCUCCUCAACAAAUGCUUUCACAGCUGCAUCGGUCACCUACAAUAUUAAGAAAUAGAAACAAGAGCGGGCAGGAUUCCCGGCUGUCCAAGCAGCUGACGAGCCACAUCCGAGGUAAACUGCUUAUCAUCGCUGAUGUCCAGGUGCUGCAGAGGCACAGUUUCAGUCUCUUCUGACCUGCAGUACAUCCAACUGGCGUAUGACUCCCAGCAGCUGAGCCGUGCUCAUUUCCAGUCUCUUCAGCUGGUGUAGUGUGAGUGAGCGCAGACGCUCCUUCAGGCCCAGCAGAGGGGUGAGGUUGGUGAUCGAGGUGUUGGAGAUAUCAAGACUUUCCAGACGGGGCAGGGAGCACACGUCCACUAACCCACAGUCAUAGAAGUCUACAUUGGCUAGAGAGAGUGAGCGGAGGCCCGGGAGGGAGCUGAAGCGAUACCGGAUUGGUUCUUCCAGAGAAAACAUGGUGAGACCUGUUAAGCUGAGACGCUGAAGGGACUCCUGUCGAGUUUUAAAAAAGUAAACAAAACCAACGAGCUGUUAUUUUAAAUGAUGACAGAGGGAGCGGUGCUUAGCCAACACACAAACAUACUUCCACUUUACCUGGCAGUAUUUAUUGGUAGCCAGUCCCUGUAGAAUAUCAUGGAUAGUGAGGUCUGCAUUGACUCUAGCAGCAUCCAGCUCCAACAGUCUGUGAGGACAGAUGGCUUUCUGGAAGGCUUCCGCAGAGAUACGCGCCGUUCGGAUGCAGGCUCGUCUCAGACGCAGGUAUUCACAGUUACGAAAUACACCCACUGUGCUGUCAUUCAAUAGACCUGCAGAGUGACAACAUGUUAAUGUUCACUUUCCAUCUGGACCAUCUGAUAAAAGCUCUUUUAUUUUUCUUUAACUUUGAGGAGGGGGCACUUAAUCAUGGACAAACGGCACUAAGAGGAUUAGCUCUUUGUGGAAUUCUGGCUCUUGAUUAGAUAAUGAUAUGGGAUAGUGGAGAAGUUUCUCCUUGAUUUACUAUCAGACCCUUGAGACUGAAGUCGUUUUCAGUCAUGAACUCCAAAUAAUGUCAAAACAACUGGGUGUGGACAUUUUCCCGAGUUCCUGGGUGUGGACAGUUCCAGCUGCCAUUCACUUCACGGAUUAUGUGGGUUCAGAAAUGACCAGCUCUAUGUGUUGUGGGAUACCUUCAGUCGCUAUCUUGGCCAGCAGCUGGUCUGCUAGCUCCUGUGGGAAGUGUACAGCCUCUCUGAAGCACAGAGAACCAUCGGGACGCUUGGCACAGAAACACUCAAAGUUUUGGCUCACAUAGGUCAGACAUAGGUCUGUUAGUGCUGCAGGGGAUGCCUCUUCCUGAAAAACAUUUAAUAACACAAGGCAAUUUAUUUUAACAGUUAAUACUUAGUCUGGAUAUGUAGAACAGAUAAAUACUUUAAUUAUUCCUAUUCAACAUGGAGCAAGCAAAUUUCAAGUCAACACUGAAAAAAGACAUUUUUAAUUACAGAAUUUUGUAUUUUGACUUAUCAAAAAUAAAUGUCUGAAUUACAGAUAUCUCUGUCAAAGUUAGCAGUCACAUACAAUAUCUCACGGUUAUGUUGAUUAAUCAAAACUGGAGUAAAAAUUAUGUUAAUAUCUGUAAGUCAUCAGCUAGACAAAUCUGAAAUACAAUUAUCUGCAUCAUUUCAAUCUGUAAAAAUUAUUAUUCAGUUUUAAUUAGGGAUGUAUAAUAUUGGACAUUUUGCUGGUAUCUGAUAUGCCAAUAAAUUGAUACUGAUAUAUAGCCUA